AACAUUGGGCCGACACAGUUAAACAUGGACUAUUGGACAGCACUGCUACUUUUAACUGUGUGUUGGGCAGGUGCAGAUUGUCAGACUCUGACAGAAUCUGAACCAGCAGUUAAAAGACCAGGAGAAUCUCACAGACUGACCUGUACAACAUCUGGAUUUAACUUUGGAGGCUACAGCAUGCAUUGGAUCAGACAGGCUCCUGGAAAAGGACUGGAGUGGAUCGCCUAUAUCAGAUAUGACAGUGCUUACAUCUACUAUUCUCAGUCAGUCCAAGGCCGGUUCACCAUCUCCAGAGACAACAGCAAACAGCAGGUGUAUCUGCAGAUGAACAGUCUGAAGACUGAAGACUCUGCUGUUUAUUAUUGUGCUCGAGACUCACAGUGA